AUACGGAGGGGGUUAGCGUUGUUCGGAAUUACUGGGCGUAAAGCGCACGUAGGCGGAUUAAAAAGUUAGAGGUGAAAUCCCAGGGCUCAACCCUGGAACUGCCUUUAAAACUAGUAGUCUAGAGUUCGAGAGAGGUGAGUGGAAUUCCAAGUGUAGAGGUGAAAUUCGUAGAUAUUUGGAGGAACACCAGUGGCGAAGACGGCUCACUGGCUCGAUACUGACGCUGAGGUGCGAAAGCGUGGGGAGCAAACAGGAUUAGAUACCCGGGUAGUCC
rnacentral:rRNA from 1 species